rnacentral:snRNA from 1 species
GGGCACAGUCAAUAAAAUGCCAGCAAACAUCUUUCUAUCAUCCCGUUGGAUCUCCAGUGUUGACUCAACUCAUCCUCCUGGCUAGGCAGAUGUCCCCCUUCCUCCCUUCACAGCUCCAUGUGCAUCCCUCUGGAAGCUGAGCACUAGGUUGAAGAUGACCUUACUAAUUAAAGGAGGACCCUCCUUAAGCCAAGGGUAUAUGAGUAGCUGUGCCCCCCUCCUCGAACCUCUGAAGAAGCCUGGGGUUACUAAUCUCAAAGUCAGUUAUACAAACCCACAAGCCACACUGCUGGAGAAAAAUGUGGCUGUGU